UACGAAGGGUGCAAGCGUUACUCGGAAUUACUGGGCGUAAAGCGUGCGUAGGCGGUUUGUUAAGUCCGUUGUGAAAUCCCUGGGCUCAACCCAGGAACUGCACUCGAAACUACUAUUCUUGAGUGUCGGAGAGGAAAGCGGAAUUCCUGGUGUAGAGGUGAAAUUCGUAGAUAUCAGGAGGAACACCAGUGGCGAAGGCGGCUUUCUGGACGAUAACUGACGCUGAGACGGCGAAAGCGUGGGGAGCGAACAGG
rnacentral:rRNA from 1 species